rnacentral:rRNA from 1 species
UACGUAGGUCCCGAGCGUUGUCCGGAUUUAUUGGGCGUAAAGCGAGCGCAGGUGGUUUAUUAAGUCUGGUGUAAAAGGCAGUGGCUCAACCAUUGUAUGCAUUGGAAACUGGUAGACUUGAGUGCAGGAGAGGAGAGUGAAAUUCCAUGUGUAGCGGUGAAAUGCGUAGAUAUAUGGAGGAACACCAGUGGCGAAAGCGGCUCUCUGGCCUGUAACUGACACUGAGGCUCGAAAGCGUGGGGAGCAAACAGG